AGUCAUUUUUUAAAAAAAAGGAAACCCGGAAACAUGCAACAAGAUCAAAUCAUUUUCAAGUUUCAUUCUCCAAAAACUAUAAUCAAACUCCAACUCAGAUUCAACUGGAACAGCAGUUAGACUUGGGAUUGAGGGCAUAUAUGCAGAGAGUCAUUCAACAGAGAA